rnacentral:rRNA from 1 species
GAACCAAGGACUUCAAUACCGUGAGGUUGAGCGAAUCCCAUGAAACCGGUUCCGGUUUGGAUUGGAGNCUUCAACUCGCCUCCAUGAAGGCGGAGUUGCUAGUAAUCGCGGAUCAACAACGCCGCGGUGAAUACGUUCCCGGGCCUUGUANACACCGCCCGUCACACCACGAAAGUCGGCAACACCCGAAGCCGGUGGCCUAACCUCGUAAGAGGAGGCAGCCGUCGAAGGUGGGGUCGAUGAUUGGGGUGAAGUCGUAACAAGGUAUCC